UACACGACCGUACCGCAAACCGACACUGGUGCGCGAGAUGAGUAUUCUAAGGCGCUUGAGAGAACUCAGGAGAAGGAACUCGGCAAAUUGACACCGUAACUUCGGAAGAAGGUGUGCCUUUAGUAGGUGAAGGGAUUUACUCCUAGAGCCCAAUGAGGUUGCAAAAAAUCGGUGGCUGCGACUGUUUAUUAAAAACACAGCACUCUGCAAACACGAAAGUGGACGUAUAGGGUGUGACGCCUGCCCGGUGCUGGAAGAUUAAAUGAUGGGGUGCAAGCUCUUGAUUGAAGUCCCAGUAAACGGCGGCCGUAACAAUAACGGUCCUAAGGUAGCGAAAUUCCUUGUCGGGUAAGUUCCGACCUGCACGAAUGGCGUAACGAUGGCCACACUGUCUCCUCCUGAGACUCAGCGAAGUUGAAAUGUUUGUGAUGAUGCAAUCUCCCCGCGGAAAGACGGAAAGACCCCAUGAACCUUUACUGUAGCUUUGUAUUGGACUUUGAACAGAUCUGUGUAGGAUAGGUGGGAGGCUUUGAAGUAGGGUCGCUAGAUCUUAUGGAGCCAACGUUGAAAUACCACCCUGGUGUGUUUGAGGUUCUAACCUAGGUCCAUUAUCUGGAUCGGGGACAGUGCAUGGUAGGCAGUUUGACUGGGGCGGUCUCCUCCCAAAGCGUAACGGAGGAGUUCGAAGGUACGCUAGUUACGGUCGGACAUCGUGACGAUAGUGCAAUGGCAUAAGCGUGCUUAACUGCGAGACUGACAAGUCGAGCAGAUGCGAAAGCAGGACAUAGUGAUCCGGUGGUUCUGUGAGGAAGGGCCAUCGCUCAACGGAUAAAAGGUACUCUGGGGAUAACAGGCUGAUACCGCCCAAGAGUUCAUAUCGACGGCGGUGUUUGGCACCUCGAUGUCGGCUCAUCUCAUCCUGGGGCUGUAGCCGGUCCCAAGGGUAUGGCUGUUCGCCAUUUAAAGAGGUACGUGAGCUGGGUUUAAAACGUCGUGAGACAGUUUGGUCCCUAUCUUCCGUGGGCGCUGCAGACUUGAGGAAGCCUGCUCCUAGUACGAGAGGACCGGAGUGGACACACCUCUGGUGUAUCGGUUGUCACGCCAGUGGCAUUGCCGAGUAGCUAAGUGUGGAAGAGAUAACCGCUGAAAGCAUCUAAGCGGGAAACUCGUUUCAAGAUGAGAUCUGCCGGGGCCUUGAGCCCCCUAAAGAGUCGUUCAAGACCAGGACGUUGAUAGGUCGGGUGUGGAAGCGCAGUAAUGCGUUAAGCUAACCGAUACUAAUUGCUCGUGCGGCUUGACCCC
rnacentral:rRNA from 1 species